AGAGUUUGAUCCUGGCUCAGAAUCAACGCUGGCGGCGUGCCUAACACAUGCAAGUCGAACGCGAAAGCCCUUUCGGGGGUAAGUAGAGUGGCGUCCGGGUGAGUAACACGUGGGUAAUCUGCCUUCGGGUGGGGAAUAACUCAGGGAAACUUGAGCUAAUACCGCAUAAUGCAGCGGCACCUAAUGGUGAUUAGUUGUUAAAGCGGGGGAUCGCAAGACCUCGCGCCUGAAGAGGAGCCUGCGGCAGAUUAGCUAGUUGGUGAGGUAAUGGCUCACCAAGGCUACGAUCUGUAGCUGGUCUGAGAGGACGGCCAGCCACACUGGCACUGACACACGGGCCAGACUCCUACGGGAGGCAGCAGUGGGGAAUUUUGGGCAAUGGGCGAAAGCCUGACCCAGCAACGCCGCGUGAGGGAGGAAAUCCUUCGGGAUGUAAACCUCACAAGCAAGGGAAGAGAGCUGCGGGCUGAAUAAUCCCGCAGUACGACGGUACCUUGCGUAAGCCACGGCUAACUACGUGCCAGCAGCCGCGGUA
rnacentral:rRNA from 1 species